AAAUCAUGUUGGGAUGACAUCUUCUGAUCAGUUGCUUGUACCUCUCCCAUGCUUUAUAGAGGGAUUUACCCUCUUUUUGUUUGAAGGUCUAAACUUCCACCCUAAGUUU